GGACCCAACUAAGCAAAUUGGCAUUGGUAACUUCAUGGUACAACAACUUGAUGGAAUAGUUAAUGAGUGGGGCUGGUGCAAGCAGAAGCUUGGUGCAAAUGCUAUAUUGAUAGUAUCACUUGCUGUCUGUAAAGCAGGUGCUAGCAUGAAAAAGAUCCCUCUUUACUAGAUAGAUGCAGAGAGUACAGUGGGGGGAGAAGCUUUUUCUCGGAUAGCGCCAACAAUUCCUACUAUCGCUGAUGUAGUUACCAGUACUCAUCUAUUUGAUGUGCUUACAGAUUCAACUGGAGGUCAACUUUCUUUCUCUAUAUGUGAGAAGUACCUUGUUGGAUUAGAAAGGGGUUGAUAAGGAGGUUUCUGUCCAUAUUUCUCACCUUCAUAGAUACCAGACUGACUAGUUUUUUUGAGCCUAGAGGAUCGAAUGGGUGUUUGUAGAUAAGGGCAGACAUGAUAUAUUUGCAUGUGUUGACUCAAAGUUAGCUAUACCACUAAUCAAGUUGGGUUGUCAGUGAUAUCGAUCAAAUGGGACUCCUUAAUUCAAACAAAUGGUUAAGAGAAGAAGAAAAAAGAAAAAGAUAAGAAAACCUGUCCUGCAUUUUGUUUUUCAAAACACCCUGGACAAGGAAGGAACAUUUGGCACAUUUGGCGCAUGUGUGCAUUGGCACCUUGGCACAUGUUGGCCACUUGUGAAUCACUGGUGUCACAUGUGCACAUUAGCACAUGUGGGAUGGUUGAAAGUUGAAUGUGGCACAUGUAGGUGGUUGAAGGUUGAUAGUGGCACAUGUGGCACAUUGUCACAUCUAUUGUGGUACAUGUGGCGGAUAUGAUUCAUGCGUGCAAGAAAACAUAUGCCUGGAUUUACUAUAAUGAAUCGCUGCCCAAGAUUUGUUAUCCCACCUUUCUUUAAAGGACAGA